GCCGGCGUAGCUCAGUUGGCAGAGCGCGCGCCUUGUAAGCGCGAGCGGGCCGGUUCGAUCCCGGCCGCCGGCU
rnacentral:tRNA from 1 species